CACCGAACCCCAACAGAUCCGUAGUAUAUAGGUAGCAUCGUUCUUCCGUUAUCCGACGCCGCAGGCUGCGUGGCUUUCUUGCAGUGUUUAGACCCAGGUCGUCCCAAAUUGUCUCUCUCCUGGUAACCAUUGUUUCGAGAAGUUAUCCCCUGAAAAUGGUCCGCUUUCUUAACAAAUGCUGUGCCGUCUCCACAUUUCACUAGCCUAUUGACAUUAGAGUCUGGAUUUGGCUGAAUGAGCUCCCAUGCCUAUACUGGAGAUUGCUACUCCGCAGCCUGCCUGCAAAGUCGUUUGUGUGCAAUCAGGGCUCAAACCCUUAUUCAUGGUAAAUUUUCAUAAACUCCGUUUACCUCUGCGAACGUUAAAAGACUGUCCUAUGCUUGGAAAUCUUUGCGACUGCCUAAAGAACUAAACGUAAAUGUGAAACACGUUGAGGUGCAAAGGAGUAGACUACUGAUCAAUGCAGUCGCAACUCUUGAACCCAAGGCCAAGGGUUUAGUUCAGAAUAAAAAUGGACAAAAGGGUUGCGAUGUUACACACUUUGGUAUCGAUUCAAGUCUCCCGACAAUUGAACUCAAGUAGUCGAGUGAAGACUCGAAGGAAUUGGAUGAGAGAGAGAGGUCGAGAAGGCUGAGAAUAUCGAAAGCAAAUAAGGGUAACACACCGUGGAACAAAGGCAGGAAACACAGUGCUGAAACCCUUCAACGGAUUAGAGAGAGAACAAAGCUUGCAAUGCAGGAUCCUAAGGUCAGAAUGAAAUUAAGCAACCUAGGACACGCUCAGAGCACAGAGACAAGGGUGAAAAUUGCAGUUGGAGUUCGAUUGGGGAGGCAAAGGCGACGUGAGAAGCUGACAGUGCAGGAAGGUUGCUGCUUUGAGUGGCAGAAUCUAAUUGCAGGAGCAGCAAAACGAGGCUUUGUUGGCGUGGAAGAGCUGCAGUGG